GACGAACGCUGGCGGCGUGCUUAACACAUGCAAGUCGAACGGAAGGGCCCUGCUUUUGUGGGGUUCUCGAGUGGCGAACGGGUGAGUAACACGUGAGUAACCUGCCCUUGACUUUGGGAUAACUUCAGGAAACUGGGGCUAAUACCGGAUAGGAGCUCCUGCUGCAUGGUGGUGGUUGGAAAGUUUCGGCGGUUGGGGAUGGACUCGCGGCUUAUCAGCUUGUUGGUGGGGUAGUGGCUUACCAAGGCUUUGACGGGUAGCCGGCCUGAGAGGGUGACCGGCCACAUUGGGACUGAGAUACGGCCCAGACUCCUACGGGAGGCAGCAGUGGGGAAUAUUGCACAAUGGGCGGAAGCCUGAUGCAGCAACGCCGCGUGCGGGAUGACGGCCUUCGGGUUGUAAACCGCUUUCGCCUGUGACGAAGCGUGAGUGACGGUAAUGGGUAAAGAAGCACCGGCUAACUACGUG
rnacentral:rRNA from 1 species